rnacentral:rRNA from 1 species
CCUACGGGAGGCAGCAGUGGGGAAUAUUGGGCAAUGGGCGCAAGCCUGACCCAGCAACGCCGCGUGAAGGAAGAAGGCUUUCGGGUUGUAAACUUCUUUUCUGAGGGACGAAGAGAGUGACGGUACCUCAGGAAUAAGCCACGGCUAACUACGUGCCAGCAGCCGCGGGAAUACGUAGGUGGCAAGAGUUAUCCGGAUUUAUUGGGUGUAAAGGGCGUGUAGGCGGGAAAGCAAGUGAGAUGUGAAAACUCAGGGCUCAACUCUGAGCUUGCAUGUGAAACUGUUUUUCUUGAGUGCUCGAGAGGCAAUCGGAAUUCCGGGUGUAGCGGUGAAAUGCGUAGAUAUACGGAGGAACACCAGUGGCGAAGGCGGAUUGCUGGACAGUAACUGACGCUGAGGCGCGAAAGCGCGGGGAGCAAACAGGAUUAGAUACCCUUGUAGUC